rfam:Puniceibacterium sp. IMCC21224 IMCC21224_11, whole genome shotgun sequence.
GGCCACCUUCGGGGGGCUUUAACAUAGGCGGGGGCCUGUUCCCUGCCGUCUGCUAACGGAAGACAGAAA